GGAAUGGUGGGCGCCGUCCCCACCCCUCACUGGCAGUGACGGUGGACAACAAAGGGGCUCGGGGUGGCGGCCAGACAAAGAGUUGCAGCGCCGGGGGAAGUUGGGAACAAAGGUAGGGGGCUGGGAGCUUCAGGGAGACGCGCUACAAGAACCCCAAAGCAGAAAGUGCCUUUGUCUCCUGGGCUGCCCAAACUUGCGGAAAGCCGGGUGGUCCUACCUCACCCGCCGCCCACCUGGGCCUGAUCGGCCGCGCUGGGACGAUGCCCUCACCGCGCAUCCAGCUGAGAGGGAAACAGGUCGGACCUGGGCAGCGCCCGAGGGAAAGCCUGGGUAGCCAGCGGCCGGCAUGUAAAGGCCCCGCCUCCUCAAAGGAAAGGCUGCUGGACCCAUGGAACAUGCCAGAAGAGAGGAGCAGACAGAUCUUAACAGAUGGAGACCAUUAAAGAAAACCAAACCAAGCCAGGCAUUGGUGGCACACGCCUUAAAUCCCAGCAAUCGGGAGGCAGAGGCAGGUGGAUUUCUGAGUUCGAGGCCAGCCUGGUCUACACAGUGAGUUCCAGGACAACCAGGGCUACACAGAGAAACCCUGUCUCGGAAAAAAAAGAAAGAAAGAAAGAAAGAAAGAAAGAAAGAAAGAAAGAAAGAAAGAAAGAAAGAAAGAAAGAAA
rnacentral:lncRNA from 1 species